rnacentral:lncRNA from 1 species
AAUUUGGAAAAUCUGGAAAGUUAGCUUGUUCUAAUAGGGGCUAUGCUCUGCAAUCCCUUUAUUUUCCCUCUUUUCCUUCAUUAAGUCAAGUCCUUAUCAGAUCAUUGCUGUCUUGUAGACGUGGUGUAUUUUGCACCUGUUGGGAUUCUGUACUGGCUGGGCCUGCUGAAGAGCAGGUCACUUGGUGACUGGCUGGUCUGGUAAGGUGUUCACUGACCACUGACUUCGGAGUUAUACUCUGUUUACUACGUCAUAAUGCUGGUUUUGCUGACUUUUUGUUUUUUUAUGCAUUUAUAAAAAAAGAAAAAGUUGGUAAUUGCAUUGCAAAAUUCCCAGGGUUUGACUGGACCUGCGGUGUUGUUAGAGCAGUGUCCUUGGGAUGCUGUGGUUCUUGAGGUUCCUGACAACAGGUAAGGAAACAGUUGGUCACCUGCUACAGAAAUAACCUGCAGUGCAGCAUUGUCUCUCUCGGACUUUUGUUUCUUUCAUUGACAAAAUCAAACCAGCAUUCCCCAUUGUAAAUAAAUGAUUUUGCUGAAUAAAGUAAAGUCUUAAAUUCAUAUGUUUAAGCAAUUUUUAUUAAGUUCUGUUAAGUCUGGAGGGUGGUUUCCUUUUAGAAGCCUUAGAGCUGUACUAUAUUUCCUCUGGUUCAUACUUUUCACAGGGUUUCUAUGUACACCAUAUAUACUUGUGAAUUAGUACUUACUGGCUAUUUUUGCAGACACUACUUUAUGCUGAUAAAAGAAUUAUAACAUCAAGUAUUAUCUUUGGAAUAUACUAAACCUGUGCCUCUGUUGUAGAAAUUAUACUUAAUAAACACUAGAAAGUAUGUUUUAAAAGUACAGAAUAUUGUUACUUUCAGAGAGGGUAGACCAUCAGCUAGAACUUGGCUUUGUACAUUCAAAAUGACUAAAAAUAGUCUUCACCCUAGCAUGUUGGGCGGGAUGAAAAAACUAUUUAAAUUUACUAGUCUUGGGGGCUUGGGCUUGCUUUGGGUAUUUUUGCACGUGGAAACUUACAUAUAACCCAGUAGAAUCUGCCUCAUUUAAUCUCUUAUUUGUUGAAGUUUACUAGUGUUCAAACACUCAAGGAAAGGCUGUGAAAUGCUAUCUGAGGUGCGUGGGCAUGGUGUAGUGGAGAACAAGGUUCCAGGGACAGGUCAUCCUUUUCAUUGAAAAUGCUGCUUGAGAUGAAUAAUUGGUGGAUUAUUUUGUGUUUGCAUGCUUUGGAAACUGCUGUUGCUUUAGUUUUAACUCUUCACUGUGGUAAAGAAAAAUGAAAUCAUUUUAAAUAUCUUUAAAGAUAAAAUUUUAAGUGGCCAUGAGGUAUAUAGUGUGAAGGUUUUAGUGAACAGGAUACCUUAGUACUCUCUAAGUACAUGUCUGCCUCAUUUACUAGAACAUAACUUAGCUCAAAUUAUUUCCUGAUUAGUAUUUUAAUGUAGCUCUUCAAUUUAGAGUCAUUGUUGCUCUCAGUUGCACAUUCAAGGUUUGGACAUGUUAUUUAAAAGUUGCUUUUGCUCUGCUAGUGUUCUAAGCACUACUUGAAGAGUAGCCUGGGCUCCAAAUACUUGAGAUCAGCCUUUUCGUGCCUUUACUCUGUCACUCAGUUUCUUCUGCCACAUGUGAAAAGAAAUCACAGUUGCUAGGUGAUGGAGUGUCUGGUGUUGGAGACUCGGAGAUAUACUGGAUUGUUCCUGGGCUUAGUAACUGAUUACUGUCGAGUGCCAGACUACAGGAAAGAAGAUGUCAUUGUCAAUAAUAUGCACCCACCUUUUACUUCUAAUGUAGUAGCUUGUUUCUUCAUUUGUUCCAUUGCUUUUGUAUGCAUAUUAUAAAAGCUAAUCUUUCCCACUCUUAGCAGUUCAGAUGUUCCCUAACUUACUAAAUAUAAAUAUGCCUUUAAUUCAGUUUUGUUAAUUCUUGAGUUACUUGAAAUUCUUGAUGCGUUAUAGAAUCAUUGACUGUUUAUUUUUAUUAUAGUAUUUAAAUUUUGUAGUUAUUGCCAUUAAUAUUGUGGAGUUUGCAGAAAUCUCAACUGUAUAAACUAAGCCUUUAAAUU